CUCUAAUCAAUUAAUCUGGUUUGAUUCUACAGUUAGAGACGGUGCUUUUGCUACGGUCCGUGUUUACGUUGUUUUUGACGAUAAUAUAAAGUAUAUACAUACAGUGUUUACCUCAGAAAAGUUGUUUGGCCCGCCGGAAAGUGUCUUUUUGACCUGGGCCAGUCACAGACUGUAUGAAAUAUGGCUACGUCUAGCUACGUUUCUAACCGAGCUGCCCCACUAACUGCUUAAAAAUACUUUAAUAAUUCCCAGUGGCUUAGAACCGUUUGGCAUCGCCAGGCUUGCAUUACACUGGGGGAAACCCUGAAAUAAUAGGAAUAAGAAAUAACUUCUGCCCGAGGCCCAGUGGUUGCUGUCGGUUGUCGGCCAGUUUUCCUGUCGGACCGAGGAGCCCCGAGACGGACCGAGGAGGCCGGCGGCGGCGUCUAAAGGCAGACGGGCGAUGACCAGGACAGCUGACCAGUUAGUCUGUGACCGGAGAAGACGGCUGGCGAAAUUCCCAAGUCCACGAAAGAUGCCAGUAGGUGUGGUCAGGUCGUCCUUGUGUCUUCCCAGUACUAUAAGAGCACAACUCACUUGUUCCAUGAUGGGAAGAGAGAAAGUGGAAACAAUGCUCCCCAUCC